rnacentral:rRNA from 1 species
GCGGUAACGGGUCCAGCUUGCUGGAUGCCGACGAGCGGCGUGACGGGUGAGUAAUGCAUAGGAAUCUGCCCAGUCGUGGGGGAUAACCUGGGGAAACCCAGGCUAAUACCGCAUACGUCCUACGGGAGAAAGCGGGGGCUUCGUGUUCUUCGGAAUAAGGACCUCGCGCGAUUGGAUGAGCCUAUGUCGGAUUAGCUGGUUGGUGAGGUAACGGCUCACCAAGGCGACGAUCCGUAGCUGGUCUGAGAGGAUGAUCAGCCACACCGGGACUGAGACACGGCCCGGACUCCUACGGGAGGCAGCAGUGGGGAAUAUUGGACAAUGGGCGCAAGCCUGAUCCAGCCAUGCCGCGUGUGUGAAGAAGGCUUUCGGGUUGUAAAGCACUUUCAGUGGGGAAGAAGGCCUGGCGGUCAAUACCCGCCAGGGACGACAUCACCCACAGAAGAAGCACCGGCUAACUCCGUGCCAGCAGCCGCGGUAAUACGGAGGGUGCGAGCGUUAAUCGGAAUUACUGGGCGUAAAGCGCGCGUAGGCGGCCAAGUAAGCCGGUUGUGAAAGCCCCGGGCUCAACCUGGGAAUGGCAUCCGGAACUGGUUGGCUAGAGUGCAGGAGAGGAAGGUAGAAUUCCCGGUGUAGCGGUGAAAUGCGUAGAGAUCGGGAGGAAUACCAGUGGCGAAGGCGGCCUUCUGGACUGACACUGACGCUGAGGUGCGAAAGCAUGGGUAGCAAACAGGAUUAGAUACCCUGGUAGUCCAUGCCGUAAACGAUGUCGACUAGCCGUUGGGUCCCUUGAGGACUUG